GCAGGGAUCUAGCACUUCGGUGAGAUCAAAAAGCUUUUGAUUAGAUUAGAGUCUCGUGUGGAUACCCAUAGAGGCCGAACGCUUGUGUGGCUACAAGGGACCUUCAGAGGAUAUCCAUGAUCCUCAGUUCGUGGUGAAGAUUGAUCCAUGUCAAGGUAUAUUCUUAACUUAUUUUUUUCUAUUUGAUUUCUGUAUCUGAAUCUUAUCUCACAUAUGAUGAU
rnacentral:lncRNA from 1 species